GAAAAAAAUAUCAUUUAUUGCAUACUUAAGACAAGUUUCAAGAAGCUAUUACAAAAUCGUCAGAUUAAUCGCGCGAUUAAAACCGUGAACACAUAAAAAGAUAUUUAAUCGCAUCUUAUCAGCAAUUACACCAUUAUUUAACUGGAAUAAUGGCGUAUGGAAUUGUCGCAAGAACAUUAUCCAUUUAUUGCCAUUGAUCGCUUUAAUAAAAGUUUCAUUUAAACACAUUCUUGUCGAUCUCAUCGCGAUAUUUUUUUUUGAAUUACAAAUUCCCGCGUAUAGAAUCGCGUGCCAUAUGCGGCAAUAUUGUAUUGCGCGCGCAGACUUUAUCUUCUAUGUCCUUGCGCAGAAUCAUACGAUUCCCGCGUAAAGACACGUGGCACCAUUCCUUGCGUUUUUCGAAGCAGUGAUUUCUAGGUUAUCGAUCUCUUCGUAGCGAGCAAGACAAUAGACUCACGAUUUCUAUCGAUCGUGCAACGUUCUUGUUUGAAAUCCUGCUCCACUCUUAAAUAACCUCUUAAUUGUUAACCUAUGCCCAUAUAUUCGUCGGAAUUGCCGUUUUUCGUGCGACCGGGAUUCGUGACACCAGACAGAUGAGGAGCGAAAGAAAGAAAGAAAGAGGUCCAUAGACUAUACUUGUACUAUGCAAAAUGAUUUAUUACUGUUCAAUAAGUUUGUAGUUUCUUUAGUUUGAUUGAUGUCUUCCUUCAGAUUUGUGCUUGGUUUCGCUUACGUAACUAAUUUAAAACUUACUAUGUAAUCAUUAA
rnacentral:lncRNA from 1 species